rnacentral:rRNA from 1 species
CUUGCUUCUCUUGAGAGCGGCGGACGGGUGAGUAAUGCCUAGGAAUCUGCCUGGUAGUGGGGGAUAACGUCCGGAAACGGACGCUAAUACCGCAUACGUCCUACGGGAGAAAGCAGGGGACCUUCGGGCCUUGCGCUAUCAGAUGAGCCUAGGUCGGAUUAGCUAGUUGGUGGGGUAAUGGCUCACCAAGGCGACGAUCCGUAACUGGUCUGAGAGGAUGAUCAGUCACACUGGAACUGAGACACGGUCCAGACUCCUACGGGAGGCAGCAGUGGGGAAUAUUGGACAAUGGGCGAAAGCCUGAUCCAGCCAUGCCGCGUGUGUGAAGAAGGUCUUCGGAUUGUAAAGCACUUUAAGUUGGGAGGAAGGGCAGUAAAUUAAUACUUUGCUGUUUUGACGUUACCGACAGAAUAAGCACCGGCUAACUCUGUGCCAGCAGCCGCGGUAAUACAGAGGGUGCAAGCGUUAAUCGGAAUUACUGGGCGUAAAGCGCGCGUAGGUGGUUCGUUAAGUUGGAUGUGAAAUCCCCGGGCUCAACCUGGGAACUGCAUUCAAAACUGACGAGCUAGAGUAUGGUAGAGGGUGGUGGAAUUUCCUGUGUAGCGGUGAAAUGCGUAGAUAUAGGAAGGAACACCAGUGGCGAAGCGACCACCUGGACUGAUACUGACACUGAGGUGCGAAAGCGUGGGGAGCAACAGGAUUAGAUACCCUGGUAGUCCACGCCGUAAACGAUGUCAACUAGCCCGUUGG